UCAAAUACACAACGUGUAAAAUGGCUAAAAUGGCCACUAAACCAACUUUUCUCGUACACAUGUACCAAAUUUGGUGAAAGCGAAGUAAGGGGCUAUUGAGCCAGGCCUGGCCCGAGGCAUAAGCGAUACAAGCGGGCGCUUGGGGCCUCCUGACCGCCAGGGGGCCCCCUAUCGGAAAAAAAAAAUUAUAAUUAAAAAUAAUUAAAAAUAAUAAUAAUAAUAAUAUUAAAUAACUUAAACAAGUGACCUGAUUGAAUGAAAUAAAGAAUACAUCUAUACAGGAAAAUUCAGAUUUUACGAUCAAUAUAUCUGCCAGCGUUCAAGUCAUGCAUAUCAACUGCGUGCUCAAUCUGCUGACAGACACUGCAUAAUACUCAAGGUUAAGUUGGAAGGGACAUAUAUAAGCAUGUCAUCUAAAAGGACGUAUCUCUCUGGUGCCCGAAAACGGAAAAAGAAAAGGACAGAAGAUGAGAAAAAAGAGCAAGAUAAAGGUAUGAUUGCAUGAUUAUUUAAAAUAUGUUUUGAACUCAUUUGAGGGAGGAGCAGCUCAAGCUAUCAUAGGAGUUAGCUAGCUAGCUAGCGAGUUAAUGUCAUCUUAUAUUUGCCAUCACAUGAGCUAUAUUCAUCAACAGUGUAUGUAUCUCAUUAAUAUACAUUUAUCUAGGUGUAUAUCAGAUAUCAACGAUAUUGGCAGUGUUUAGGAUGUUCAAUCAAACAUGUACUGCUAGCUCUUGCCAGGCUUAAUCUAACGUUAGCUCGCUGACUGAGGUGGACAUUAGCACUAGUAGCUAGCUACAUGAAAACAGUACUGUUUUAUAAAUGUGACAUAGUGGUGAGUCUGACAGCGACUAAGAGUCUUAGUCCGUGAGAUAUCGGUUUAUAUUGGAGGAAACAGCCAACGGUGAACUUAACCUUCUAGGUGUAAGGGAUGCAAGCUAGCAUUGCUGUGCCUGUGCACGUUAGUAAAAGUGACAUCUCAGCCAAAGAUGGAGCACAAUGUGCGCUCUGCUCUAAGAUCUUUGUUGAGAGAUGGCCUAUUGGUCUUUAUGAGAAAACACCAUGUUGAAGUGAGGAGACGUCUGUGAUAAAAAUAUACUUAUAUUGUAUUAAUAUUAUAUUUAGGAUGUUAAGUGUUCACCACACUGCAAUUAGGCUGUGCCUUAUUUUGCCUCACUAGAAUAGGAAUGGUUAGGUGUGGAAUUGUUUGUUGAUGAGUGUAAGUAAUGAUGGCAAAAUAAACUCAUUUUUCAUAAACUCACUAUCAACUAUGCACUUUUGCAAUGUUAUUUUUUCAGGAACACUGUUGAAGUAUUUUGGAGCACAACCAACUGUACCUGCCCCCGAUGUGUCAUCAAGUGUCAGUGCCUCCACAGCUGAUGAUACAGCAGGUUCACCCCCAGCAGACUUACAGUCAUCUGAAAGUGAGGAAGAACUUUUACCCAUUGAGGAACAGUUACCAGCAUUGACAGUCACUGAUACACCGACUUCAACCUCUGCCGGCAUAACAGGUCAGUUAAUCUAACAGUUUUUGUUUUGUGUUGCCUUACUUAACUGUGAAAUAUCUUGUGUUAUGUUAUGAUUCUAUUUUUGUAUCUUUGUAUUAGUAUUAAUAGCAAAGUUGGCCAAGCAAUAUCAUAUAAUGAUGUCAUCAAUGACUUUGCCUCCCGAAAAGCUAGGAAGGAAAGAUUUUGAGGACAGUUACAUUGUAUUGAGACAGUUGGGAAUAUUUUCACAAUAAUUGAUUGUUGAACCCUUGCUGUCAUGUUACUGACUUAUCAGUUUUGUUAUUAUCGUUUAUUUGAAUGUUUUGAAACAGUUUGAUUUUAGAAGUUCCAAAUAGUUAGUUUAAAAGGUUAAUUGAAUACUGAGUCACUUUCAUUAUUUAAUCUAUGUAUCUAUGUAACGUUCUAUUUUUUAUUAUAUUCAUGCUUGUCUAUUUUGGUUUUAUUUUGUAAUUGGAAAUUGCUAACUUAAUACGCAUUUGCACAGUUGCAAAUUAUUUAUUUAAUAUGUUUGUGAUCGUUUGUUUGGAAUACAGAGGCACUAUCAUUAUUUAUUUUUUAUUUUUUAAUGUUAUUUUUGAUAAUACUAAUGUUUGUGUAUUUUGAUUUCAGUUUAAGAUUGCACAUUUACAAAUCUGUUGAAAGAUCUGUUUAUUAAACUGAUACUUUAAAAAAAAAUACAAAUGCUGUUGUAUUUAAUUAUUUUACAAUUUAACUUCAGUAAACCACACUUGAUGCUUUACUUUGAAUAUGAAAGUUUAAAAUAAAUCUGUGAUCUAAGUGCCCUCUAAGGUUAAAAGGUGACUGUUUUGGUGUAAAUAACGACUAUAAUAAUACAGGGGUCUAUCAAGGGACAAAAGUCUAGAAUAUU